rnacentral:rRNA from 1 species
UACGGGGGGGGUAAGCGUUGUUCGGAAUUACUGGGCGUAAAGGGCUCGUAGGCGGCCAACUAAGUCGGACGUGAAAUCCCUCAGCUUAACUGGGGAACUGCGUCCGAUACUGGAUGGCUUGGAUUUGGGAGAGGGAUGCGGAAUUCCAGGUGUAGCGGUGAAAUGCAUAGAUAUCUGGAGGAACACCGGUGGCGAAGGCGGCAUCCUGGACCAAUAUUGACGCUGAGGAGCGAAAGCCAGGGGAGCAAACGGG